rnacentral:lncRNA from 1 species
ACAAACUCUAUAUCAGUAUGCAUUACAAUCACCAAUAAUGAUGGUUGCUAACAAAAUUUUGGCCAAAAUUUUUUGCCACCACCAUUAUUUUUUAUUGUUAAAAAUAAAUAAAUAAGGAUAAUUGCAUUGCCAAACGUUUAUUAGAGGUUCUCAAAAAAAAUAAAAAAAAAUAAAAAGGUCUCACGGUCAUGACAACAAGAUUAACUAAACUACAAAUCAUACUUCAAUCUAUUAGAAGAAAUGGUCUAUAAUUCUUAAUCUAAGAAAAUUAAGAACUGUAACUUAGCUUUGAAACUUCAAUAGCUGGAAUGCCUGAACCAAAUACAUGCAUAG